AUUGAACGCUGGCGGAAUGCUUUACACAUGCAAGUCGAGCGGCAGCGCGGGGCAACCUGGCGGCGAGCGGCGAACGGGUGAGUAAUACAUCGGAACGUGCCCAGACGUGGGGGAUAACUACUCGAAAGAGUGGCUAAUACCGCAUACGAUCUAAGGAUGAAAGCGGGGGAUCGCAAGACCUCGCGCGUUUGGAGCGGCCGAUGGCAGAUUAGGUAGUUGGUGGGGUAAAGGCUUACCAAGCCCGCGAUCUGUAGCUGGUCUGAGAGGAUGAUCAGCCACACUGGGACUGAGACACGGCCCAGACUCCUACGGGAGGCAGCAGUGGGGAAUUUUGGACAAUGGGCGAAAGCCUGAUCCAGCCAUUCCGCGUGCAGGAUGAAGGCCCUCGGGUUGUAAACUGCUUUUGUACAGAACGAAAAAAGCUCUUUCUAAUACAGAGAGUCCAUGACGGUACUGUAAGAAUAAGCACCGGCUAACUACGUG
rnacentral:rRNA from 1 species